UACAGAGGUCUCAAGCGUUGUUCGGAUUCAUUGGGCGUAAAGGGUGCGUAGGCGGCGCGGUAAGUCGGGUGUGAAAUCUUGGAGCUUAACUCCGAAACUGCAUUCGAUACUGCCGUGCUUGAGGACUGGAGAGGAGACUGGAAUUUACGGUGUAGCAGUGAAAUGCGUAGAUAUCGUAAGGAAGACCAGUGGCGAAGGCGGGUCUCUGGACAGUUCCUGACACUGAGACACGAAGGCCAGGGGAGCAAACGGG
rnacentral:rRNA from 1 species